GCAGAGGAGAGGAGAGCAGCGGAAAUCUAUGGGCCGGUCCUUGGGACGGAAGAGCCACCACUGUUAGCGAAGCUCCACCUUAGCUCUGGGGAUCAAAGGCAGGUGGCAGAGAUAAAUAGAUGU